UUCUUUAAUAUUAAAAGAUAGGGCCUGCCCACUGAAUUUAAAGGGCCGCAGGAUUUAACUGUGCUAAGGUAGCAUAAUAAUUAGUUUUUUAAUUAGAAAAUAGAAUGAACGGUUUAAUAAUUUGGGGUUUUAAUAAGUUUAAAAAUUGAAAUUAAAAUAAAAGUGAAAAUGCUUUUUUAAUUCUAUGGGACGAUAAGACCCUAUAGAUCUAAGUGUAAAAUAUUUAUAUUGAAUUGGUGAAAAAUAGAAUUAAAUUAUACUUUACUGGGGUGGUAAAAGAAUAAGAAAAACUUCUAAUAGAGCAGAUAGUCUUGAAUUUUGGAUUAUAAAAAGAUACCUUAGGGAUAACAGCGUAAUUAAAUUGGAGAGAUCUUAUCAAUAAUUUAGAUUGCGACCUCGAUGUUGAAUUAAAGGGUUUUUAUUUGGCAGCAUGAAUAAAAAAUAGUCUGUUCGACUAUUAAAACUUUACA
rnacentral:rRNA from 1 species